GAACACAAAAGCUUCCUACGAUGAAGAGCUUGAUAUCAGCUCUCCUCCUUCUCUGCAUUAUGUCUGUGACGUAUGCUGCUCCAGUCUUACGGCAGACACCAUGCGUUGGUAUAGAGAGACAGCAGAAAGAUCAUGACUGCGACAGCAUAAGGAGCAUCGCAUGUUCUGUCCUGUCACUGUUGAGGCUUUUCUGCGCUCCUCCGACGGACUAUUCCCUUCACUUCCGUUCUUCGCACGGGCUCUCUGGAAGCUCCGCCUACUUGUGGAAACAGGAAGUCACCGACAACAUGCCACUUUCACAAAAGCACUGAGACCACCAGACUUCCAAAGGCUAGAGGCUGAAUAUACAUCAAGUGAUGUGACUAGCUGAGCAUGCAGUGACACCCACAGAUGUAGAUAUAAAAGUGGAAACCCAUUGGAGGAAACCCAGCAGCGGGCGUGAAGGACGAAAAAAAACCCCCAAUCCCUUGAAUUGAACCAGGGGAGUGGACUAUGAAAAAUCAGGAAAAGGACUUUCAUUUUUUUCCCUCCCUUCCCAGGCGGUCUGUGUACUUGCGGUAAUUUUUAGCUCUCCGAUCACACUUUGGACGUAAAAAUUAAGAUAUUUGACCCCCCCCCCCCUCCUCAGAACGAAAAAAAGUCCAAACGAUUACUUGCUCAUGUUUACGAAAUAUCCUUUACUGCUGAGCAGUGCCUUCAAAAUUAUGUAAUUCAUAUUAGUUAUUAUGCAUUGUACAUGUAUUUUUAAAAAUAGCAACAGCUAUUCACCAUCCCACCUGUUAAAAAAAUCGCAGUCAAAUUUCCUUUUUCUUUUGAGAAUCCACUAACAAUCGCAACAAAUGUUUCUUCGGGAACCAAAUGUCUUCUAUUAUGAAAUGUUCUUAAAGAAUUUUGUUGUACCCAGCAGAGAAUACAUCUUUUAUGGAUAGCAGAGAAAAAAAGAUAGUGUAUAUGUUGUUCCGGGGGCUCUCCUGUUGUUUUCGAAUAAAUAAAUUGUUAAAGCAUUCA